AUUGAACGCUGGCGGCAUGCUUUACACAUGCAAGUCGAACGGCAGCACGGGAGCUUGCUCCUGGUGGCGAGUGGCGAACGGGUGAGUAAUACAUAGGAACGUAUCCUGUAGUGGGGGAUAACGCAGCGAAAGCUGUGCUAAUACCGCAUACGAUCUACAGAAGAAAGCGGGGGACCUGCAAGGGCCUCGCGCUAUUGGAGCGGCCUAUGUCUGAUUAGCUAGUUGGUGAGGUAAAGGCUCACCAAGGCGACGAUCAGUAGCUGGUCUGAGAGGAUGAUCAGCCACACUGGAACUGAGACACGGUCCAGACUCCUACGGGAGGCAGCAGUGGGAAUUUUGGACAAUGGGGCAACCCUGAUCCAGCCAUGCCGCGUGAGUGAAGAA
rnacentral:rRNA from 1 species